rnacentral:rRNA from 1 species
UACGAAGGGUGCAAGCGUUACUCGGAAUUACUGGGCAUAAAGCGUGCGUAGGUGGUGGCUUAAGUCCGUUGUGAAAGCCCUGGGCUCAACCUGGGAAUUGCAGUGGAUACUGGGUCACUAGAGUGUGGUAGAGGGUGGCGGAAUUCCUGGUGUAGAGGUGAAAUUCGUAGAUAUCAGGAGGAACACCAGUGGCGAAAGCGGCCACCUGGGCCAACACUGACACUGAGGCACGAAAGCGUGGGGAGCAAACAGG